UACGAAGGGGGCUAGCGUUAAUCGGAAUUACUGGGCGUAAAGCGUGCGCAGGCGGCUUCGCAAGUCAGACGUGAAAUCCCCGGGCUCAACUUGGGAAUGGCGUUUGAAACUACGAGGCUGGAGUGUGGCAGAGGGAGGUGGAAUUCCACGUGUAGCGGUGAAAUGCGUAGAGAUGUGGAGGAACACCGAUGGCGAAGGCAGCCUCCUGGGCCAACACUGACGCUCAUGCACGAAAGCGUGGGGAGCAAACAGG
rnacentral:rRNA from 1 species